AGAGGAGCAAGCCCAGCCUUGCAGAAGAUACAGAGACAUUCAACCUGCCUGCUUCUCCCAUGGGAGACAGGAGCUGAGCAGUACCCAUGGGACAAACACCAGGAGAUGUCCAACUGCCUGGAAAAGGAGCUGCUUUGGGGACCAUCCCAGCACUGAAAUCGGGAUGGAGCUGACCUGAAGGAGUAAGAGGUCCUGUCCAUGCGGAACACCCACAGAAAGCCUCAUGGAUCAGCAGGGAUGAGCAAGACCACAUGGAGAAGAGGUUGUUUGGCAGUUCAGCAAAGCAAUGAGGAUGUCCCAUGUCACCUCCAGGCAAUAUUAAAAGGACAAAUGGGAAGAGGCAGCUGGAAGUUAACCCUUGCUGGGGCUGCAUCCCCACCCCAUGGAGGGGGAGGAGGAAGAGGAUGACCCAGGAGGAAUCAGAAACAGGAGUCCUGGUGCUUUGUGGCUCUGCAGCAGCAGGAAGAAUGCGAAAGCGAGAUGGAAGAGGAGGCACAGUGUGGUACCCAAAGCAAAGCGAGGGGCAGGGAUGUGCCUUUGUGAUGGGUUGGUUGUUCUUCACUGAAAGGAAGCAAGCCCAUUGACUCCUCCACACAUGCACAUGAAGUGCUGAGUGCUUUUCUUGGUCAGGUCCAAAUGGGAAGCGUUGGUAGUGACUGGGAAACCACCUUCUGUUGGAUUCCUAUAGGU